GCAUAUCAAUAAGCGGAGGAAAAGAAACCAACAGGGAUUGCCCUAGUAACGGCGAGUGAAGCGGCAACAGCUCAAAUUUGAAAUCUGGCGCAAGCCCGAGUUGUAAUUUGUAGAGGAUGUUUCUGGCGACGCGCCUUCCGAGUUCCCUGGAACGGGACGCCAUAGAGGGUGAGAGCCCCGUACGGUUGGAUGCCUAGCCUCUGUGAAACUCCUUCGACGAGUCGAGUAGUUUGGGAAUGCUGCUCUAAAUGGGAGGUAUACGUCUUCUAAAGCUAAAUACCGGCCAGAGACCGAUAGCGCACAAGUAGAGUGAUCGAAAGAUGAAAAGCACUUUGAAAAGAGGGUUAAAAAGUACGUGAAAUUGUUGAAAGGGAAGCGUUCAUGACCAGACUUGGGCAGGUUGAUCAUCCGUGGUUCUCCGCGGUGCACUCUGCCUGCCCAGGCCAGCAUCAGUUCGCCCCGGGGGAUAAAGGCUUUGGGAAUGUGGCUCCCUCGGGAGUGUUAUAGCCCACUGCGUAAUACCCUGGGGUGGACUGAGGUUCGCGCUCUGCAAGGAUGCUGGCGUAAUGGUCAUCAACGACCCGUCUUGAAACACGGACCAAGGAGUCGUCUUCGUAUGCGAGUGUUCGGGUGUCAAACCCCUACGCGUAAUGAAAGUGAACGUAGGAGAGAGCUUCGGCGCAUCUCCGACCGAUCCUGAUGUUCUCGGAUGGAUUUGAGUAAGAGCAUACGGGGCCGGACCCGAAAGAAGGUGAACUAUGCCUGUAUAGGGUGAAGCCAGAGGAAACUCUGGUGGAGGCUCGCAGCGGUUCUGACGUGCAAAUCGAUCGUCAAAUAUGGGCAUGGGGGCGAAAGAC
rnacentral:rRNA from 1 species